AACUCACGGACCGUGAGAUCGUGACCUGAGCUGAAGUCGGACGCUCAACCGACUGAGCCACCCAGGUGCCCCAAGAUUCUGCAUUUCUAACAACCUCUAGGAUGUCACAUUGCUGACUCACGGACCACACUUCGAGGCAUGAAGGAUUCCUUUACAGCUUGGCGAAGCCACAGGACCACAUUCUGGUCAAUGAGGUGAAGGCUUUAAGAGAAUCGAAUCAGGUGUGAGGGUGUGCAAUGGUCAGGUCUGGGCUGAAUCCACCCCAAAUCCAAGGAGCCUGGAAGAAUUUUGGUAACCAUGAAGAUGCUGUCUCCUCUGGAAUCUUCCAGCCUUCAUGAGAGCCGGGUGUUGGUUGUGCAGAGGGCUCUGCAUGAGGCCUUUGGUGAAUGCCAAGUGGUGUGAGUUGCAUUCUGCAGACAGCACCCUGGUUAUCUCGACGGGCAGGGACACUACUGAGAACUAGGUGGGAAGCUUUCUUUGUUGAUAAAAGGAGUCUACCUGACAACGGUUACUACGAGGAGCUUCUUUUUGGGGGAGAAACAUCAGCCGCCUGGGGUGCAGGGUUUCAGCCAGCCCUGCUCCAGGGAUCCAACAGUAAACAAGGCCCAUGAGGCGCUCCAGAGGUCAGAAGCUGAAAACAGACACCCACAGCCAGCUCUUCCCAAACAAGAGUCUUUAUUUUUAUGAUGUACCCCGCCCUCUGUCAAAAAAAAAAAAAAAAAAAAAAAAAAAAAAAGUGCGGAGAGCAUUAUUUAAAUGGCUGGUUUUGUAGCAAAGAGCUUGAAACUCAGAUCGGUGCCCGGCACAGUGGAGCCAAAAGGAAAGGAUUGAUUGAUCGCAGGCUCUGGGAAGCCCUCCACCUCUGCAGGACCCCUCCCUCUGGAGUUCUGUAGAAGGGAGGAAACACACACCCAGAUUGCACAAGAGAUCCAGUCCUUGGUUGGCCCAAAUGGAUCAAGAAGAAGUCCCAGGAGCUCUGUGAAAGCUUCUUCCCCUUGGUGGCUGGGCCUCACUUCACAGGCCUAGAUAAUCCCUCUCCUGCCCUGUCAAGAUCCUGAGGUGUUAUCAGUCUCUCCAGCCAAAAGGCCCAGCCCAAAUCGGCUCCCAGGAGAAGUUUCCACACAACAUUACAUUCUUCAGAAACCUGUCUCCUUUGAUUAACAAGACCUUUUAGCUUUCUUUUGAAUUCUAUAUAGAUGGCCAGAACGCACCCACACACACUGUCCCGCUAACGGCUGAGGGUGGAGAAGUGUCUCCUGGUGUUGGGGUAACCUAGAUCUGAGCUUUGCCAGCAAAGUCAAUGUUACACCCUAUGUGACACUGGGUUUACCCUAACCAGUAAGUGUUCAGAAUCAUUAUCACAGCUCCCUCCUCAUUAAGGGCAUUCAAUGGCUUUCCAGUUGCUCUGCCGACACAGACUAAAAUGGCUGACAAGGCUGACAAGGCCCUAAAGGUUCUGGCCUGGGCACUGAAACUUUGAGCACGUUCCCAAAGCCAGGGCCACUUUGCACACUGAUAAUCUCAGGGUGGAUAGUAUAGCAGGGGCCGGACAGACUCUGAUUCACUAGCCCCACAUCACAGUCCUCCAUUCAUCCCUCAUAAGAUACUGACAGAAAGAAUGAUAAAAGGCAAAUAUCCGGAUGACAAACUAAAAACUCUUCCAGUCAAAGAGACCGAGCACAGACUCAGUGUUGGAAUCCAAAAGCCAUUCAGUGGGCUUUCUAUCAUGCUGGCACCUGCAACCCCUGAGUGAAGACAGAGACCAUGGUGUCUUGAAGCAAGAGAGCAGGUGGAUGUAAUUCUCGGGUAGCAGAAGGCCCCUCUAUUUGGUGCCCUGCAGUGGCAGAGGAAUACUGUUUACACAGCCUGUAAGGUGCCCCCUUAAUACUGCCUCCCGCUUAGGGGGGAUUGCCAGGCAUCUCCCUCCUUCUCUUUGACUGGGUAUCAGCUACUGUUCCCUCAGCUACCAGGACAGUCCUCAGAGGUCAAGAGACAUCAGUCACAAAGCUUUCCUGUGUGAACAGUGCUCCCUGGGGUUCUGCAAGGCAGGGGCCUUGACUUCACUUCCUCAAGCAAGCCCUCCUGAUCCUCCUGACCGGUCCAGAGCUAUGAGACCCCUCCUGGAUGUCAGAGAGUAGUUGAUCAGAUCUGUCUCCCCUCCUAGACUAGAAGCUCUGCUCUUCUGUUGGUGGGCUUCCUCGCUGUUCUAUCCCCACUUGGCCCAUGUCCUACCAGGGAGUAGAAGUUGAAUGAACAAUUUCUCAUUCUCCCACCCCCUGACUGUUCCAGGCCUGCCACCCACCUCGAGCUCCUGACACUCUGAUGCACAGUCUUCGGAGGCAUCGAUGACCUCUGUGUUGGCACUUUUUCUCUUUCUUGGAACAGGGAUGGUGCUGAGUAAUUUUGUUGCCUGGAGCUAAAAACUCCCCAAGGCCACUUCCCUACGUGUGGGACUCGUGGCAUCACUGAGAUAAAUCGGCUUUCCUGCCUGGCCUGCUUCUACACAUGGACACCCUUUCCAAACAUCUUUUUGUGAUUUGACCUCCCCUUGAUGCUCAUUAUAACUGAAAUCCAGGAAUAUAGAGUUGUGGGAUGGGGGAGGAUGAGCAGAGCAAGGGGUGAGGGAAGCAGGCACGCAGGGCUCCAAGUGUCAUUGCCAGUAGGCAUGCCACAGGUGAUGCUCAGCUGUGUCCCUGUCCCCAGACUUCCUCCCCAGAACCAGUGGCUCUCAGUUAGGAAUCCAAUAUUUCAUGACUAUUGUUUCUGUAAACAGAAUCACAUUUUUCCAUUAUUUUCUGUCAUCACACAUCAAAACAAAUUCUCAUAUAAAAAGGUUUUGUUCCUAAGAUAUAAUACAGAUCACAAUAAUAAUAAGCCAAGCAUAUUUUAAUCAUGUCCUUGGAAAAUGAGAUGUUUUUGAUAAAAAUUAGUAAAAAUCAUGAACAUGGUACCAAAACGUUAAGGAAUUGCUGAAUCCUGUCUUCCUCUGGGAUGAGCCUCCCUUAUCUCGAGUGACAGGAAAAUAUUUUCUUUUAAAACUCAAUGGUCGUAACUGUCUCUUCUAAAGUCUUCGAUCCGUGGUGGUGGUUUAUUACCCAGUUCAGAUUCAGGGAGAUUAAGGCCACCAACUUCUUUUAUAUAGAAGAUGAGCUUCUGUUGACCAUAAAGAUUGUUUCCACGAUCCAUGAUUUUCCGGGUAUGGACACGAGGCUCUAUUUUGUCUAAUUGAGCAGAA